AAAUGGAUAGAGGCAUCUUUUAGAGUAGACGCUUUGUAUGAUACUCUCAAUUUACACUUUUGUGUAUAUGGGAUAGUUUGGUAAUUAUAAGUCUCAAAAAUGUGGAUGCCGUUAGACUCAAAAUUGAACUACUGGGUAUUUAUCUUAAAUAAUUUGGAAUGUGGGCAAAGAUUAAAGAUUAAUAGCAAUAUAGUAGCUAAUGCUUUUUAACCUCCUAGUGGCCAGGCACGGUGGCUCACGCUUGUAAUCCCAGCACUUUGGGAGGCUGAGGCGGGCGGAUCACUUGAGGUCAGGAGUUUGAGACCAGCCUGGCCAACAUGGUGAAACCCUGUCUCUACUAAAAAUACAAAAAUUAGCCGGGUGUGGUGGCACACGGCUGUAAUCCCAGCUACUUGGGAGGCUGUGGCAUUGCUCGAACCUGAGAAGCGGAGGUUGCAGUGAGCUGAGAUGUCACGCCACUGCCCUCCAGCCUAAGCCAUAGAAUUAAUAAGCAAUUAAUAAGCUCCUAGUUAGUGCUUUAUAUGUAUUGUAUCAUUUAAAAUGUAGGCACCACUAUUAUCCCAUUUAACACAUGAGAAACCCAAGGCUCAAAGAAGUUAAACUCAUCUCUUGGUUUUAGUACUGAGUUCCAUGUCCCAGGAAACUCCGCAGUCCUGAGCAAAUGGAAUGGCUGGUCACCUGUUCCUGCUCUGGUGGGCACUCUCAUCUCAUGCGCUCCACUCAGGCUGUCUCUGAGCCAACGCAGUGCCAAUCUUUCCAGGUGAAUACAAGACAACCAGCCCUCCCUGCAAUUGGCUGAGCUAGUGUAUUGGUAAUACGGGCCGAAGACUGUGAUCUCUUUCUAGAAACACCUGGCUGGUGACAGACACACAGGAAGAAAAAUGGAAUAAACACAACUCGCUUUCCGUCAAGUUCUGGUGGGGGCCACCCUCACCACUUCAACCGAGAAGACACAGUUUCCUCCCAGAAAGUUCUGGGGGGUAGAGGAUUGACUAUCCUGGACCUUGGAACCACUGGCUACCUUGCACCUCUUUCCUGCGCCCUUAAGAAACGUUUCUAUUCCGUUUCCAUUUCCUUUUGGAUAAAUGCCUUGGUUUUAAUGCUAAUGAUUUAACGAAGUUUAGUUCUUUUCCUUACUUAUGGAUGCUUUUGCUCCUUUUAAUUUCUAAUCUUAUUUCCUAAAGCUUUUCCCCAUCUCAGCCCCCACCACAGCAGGAAUAACUUUAUUUAGAAAAAAUGUUGGGGCUGGGCAUGGUGGCUCAUGCCUGUAAUCCCAGCACUUUGGAAGGCCCAGGCGGGCGGAUCAUGAGGUCAGCAGUUCGAGACUAGCCUGGCCAGCAUAGUGAAAUCCUGUCUCUACUAAAAAUACAAAAAAAUUAGCCAGGCAUGGUGGCAGGUGCCUGUAGUCCCAGCUACUUGGGAGGCUGUGGCAGGAGAAUUGCUUGAAGCUGGGAGGUGGAGGUUGCAGUGAGCUGAGACCGUGCCAUUGCACUCUAGCCUGGGUGACAGAGAAAGACUCUGUCUCCCUCUCUCCCUCUCUCUCCCUCUCUCUCCCUCUCUCCCUCUCUCCCUCUCUCCCUCUCUCCCUCUCUCCCUCCAUCUAUCUAUCUAUCUGUCUGUCUGUCUGUCUGUCUGUCUGUCUAAAACUUUCUAAAUGAGUAAGAUCUACUUCACAUCUUUAAACCUUCCCUGUCAGCGGACCUUGUCUUCCAGUUACCGAGAGUGAGGCCACCUGACCUGAUGGCUUUCUUUCUACCCACCUGAAAAUCUCUGUUUUUACCCAUUUCCUCUCCCCUCCUCAUAUCUGAGGAGCAGAAG
ensembl:lncRNA